rnacentral:rRNA from 1 species
UACGAAGGGGGCUAGCGUUGCUCGGAAUUACUGGGCGUAAAGCGCACGUAGGCGGAUCUUUAAGUCAGGGGUGAAAUCCCGAGGCUCAACCUCGGAACUGCCUUUGAUACUGGUAGUCUCGAGUCCGGAAGAGGUGAGUGGAAUUCCGAGUGUAGAGGUGAAAUUCGUAGAUAUUCGGAGGAACACCAGUGGCGAAGGCGGCUCACUGGUCCGGUACUGACGCUGAGGUGCGAAGGCGUGGGGAGCGAACCGG